AUUUAAAUAGCUUAUAAAUUAGAGUAUAAUAUUGAAGAUAUUAGGGAAAUUAUUGAAAUUUUUAAAUA
rnacentral:tRNA from 1 species